ensembl:lncRNA
CAGGGAGGCAGGGGCUGAAAUCAAGGAAUAAGGGAGGUGGCUUGGGGGUUGGUGAUGACUAGCAUGAACGGAUCAUGGGUUGAACAGCCUGAGGAUCUGGUCACCAUGGGCAGGAACACAGCUGGACCUAACGCUCUGCUGAGGGGUUUUAGGAGGAGAGGCAGAGCAUAAUCUGCAAGUGACACAGAAGCAAGGAGUCAAGUUCUCUCAUUUCUAGACCUCCUGGGAGGAGGGCUGUGGGAAAGGAAAUGGACGUGACUCCAAGGGGCUGCUGGGGAGGACACAGUGUUCAGGGGGCUAGGCCUGGUCUCAGGUCCAGUGAGCAAGUGAUGGUAGGUGUCAGCAGAGAGGCUGAGGAUGGAGGCCACAAAGCAGUGAUGUCAGGAAGCGGGCAGGCAGGUGAAGUGAAGGGAAAAAAUGAUGGGUGAUGAUUAGAGUCUGGGGGUUCGAAUUCCAUGCUUCCUGUGGGGUCUGAUAGGAGCAAACAUAAAGAGUAUGAUGAGAAGAGUCUUGAUGUUCUCAAGGCAGACAGUUCAUGUGGCUCAUUUGCAUUGUUAGGAAGGAGUGGAUGCUACUGUUAACUGGCAGGAUUUAUACUGGCGAACUGAGUCCAGGCUGAAGGGGACCGAGCCUCAGGCCCUGUUUCCACUCCUAUCUCUGGUGACAUGUUGGUGGGAGGGGUAUCUUAUCUAAUCUGAACAUGGUGAAUUCCUGGUCCCUCCUGGCUUGCUUGGGAGCAUCCAGAGCUCUCCAGGCCAGUUGAUUUAUUGAUUAGGUUUUUUCUCCUCAGUCCAUGGGCUGGGUCUCUUAACCCAAUUUGACUUGGACUCAGUGCCAAAGACUUCCAUGAACAGUCUGGGUAACAGUCAAUGUCCUUAACUUUGCCAGAACAAAUCUGUCUCUCUCAGCAGAACUUCUUCCAAGACUCCUAUUGUGUCUUCAUUUGCCCUGAGUUAAAAUGCCAGAGUCAGGACAGCCUGGAGCCGCAGCCCUAGACCGUGGGAGGAAACUUGGGCUCCAGUCCUGCCUUUGCCUCUCGGGGGACCCUAGACCUGUCGAGUUUGAGUCCUUGGCUGUUAAAGGAAAGCAUGGAGCUGUGAGAAUGGAUUCAGCUCACACAUUUUCUAAUGAUCCCUCUGCUCAACGUGGCAGGCACACUGAUCAUUUCUCAAAAGCCUGUUCAAGAAUGAAGGAAACUAGAGGAAUGAAGGCACCAAAAUAAGAAAAGAUGACACCCCACAGCACAAAAGCAGCCCAUCAAACAACCAAGACGCCGACAUGCUCAGCAGGACUACAGGAAAGCUGCCGUCUCGCCUGUCAGAUGUAACCUUUUCUUCUCUGUCCUGGGCUUUUCUGAAAAGGUAGGGAAUGUCUGCUUACGUUUGUGAGGUUGGUGCAUUAAAAACUCUGGAAAAUAGCUCACAAAGCAUUUGAUGGCUUAAGUGGGACCUUUUUUUAUCUUAAUAACACAGGCUCCUUUCCCCCUACAGAAUACACCUCCCUACCAAGGCCAUCUUCAAUCUCUACAGAAGUCCCCAACUCCACCACCUCUUCAUGCGGUCACUGCAUGGGGACCUUCCUUGCCUGCUCUUUAGGACAAAGGUCUACACACAGCUGAUCCCCUCCCCACAGAGGCCAACACUUUUGAUUUCAUCAAUAAAUCAUUUGUAAUCAAGACA